AUUGAACGCUGGCGGCAUGCUUUACACAUGCAAGUCGAACGGUAACAGGUUAAGCUGAUGAGUGGCGAACGGGUGAGUAAUGCAUCGGAACGUGCCCGGUCGUGGGGGAUAACGCAGCGAAAGCUGCGCUAAUACCGCAUACGAUCUGAGGAUGAAAGCGGGGGACCGUAAGGCCUCGCGCGAUCGAGCGGCCGAUGUCAGAUUAGGUAGUUGGUGGGGUAAAGGCUCACCAAGCCGACGAUCUGUAGCUGGUCUGAGAGGACGACCAGCCACACUGGGACGGAGAAACGGCCCAGACUCCUACGGGAGGCAGCAGUGGGGAAUUUUGGACAAGGGGCGCAAGCCUGAUCCAGCAAUGCCGCGUGCAGGAAGAAGGCCUUCGGGUUGUAAACUGCUUUUGUACGGAGCGAAAAGGCUCUCUCUAAUACGGAGGGCUCAUGACGGUACCGUAAGAAUAAGCACCGGCUAACUACGUGCCAGCCGCCGCGGUAA
rnacentral:rRNA from 1 species